rnacentral:tRNA from 1 species
GGAGGGGUUCCCGAGUGGCCAAAGGGAACAGACUGUAAAUCUGUCGGCGUCAGCCUUCGGAGGUUCAAAUCCUCCCCCCUCCACCA